rnacentral:rRNA from 1 species
AAGUAAAAGUCGUAACAAGGUUUCCGUAGGUGAACCUGCGGAAGGAUCAUUAUCGAGUUUUGAACGGGUUGUAGCUGGCCUCAUACGGGGCAUGUGCACGCCUGGCUCAUCCACUCUUCAACCUCUGUGCACUUAUUGUAGAUCGGUGAUAAGGUCGAGUUCUUUCACGAGUUCUUGACUGGAAAAACCUUUCUACGUUUUUACCACAAACGCUUCAGUUAUAGAAUGUUUAUCUGCGUAUAACGCAUCUUUAUACAACUUUCAGCAACGGAUCUCUUGGCUCUCGCAUCGAUGAAGAACGCAGCGAAAUGCGAUAAGUAAUGUGAAUUGCAGAAUUCAGUGAAUCAUCGAAUCUUUGAACGCACCUUGCGCUCCCUGGUAUUCCGGGGAGCAUGCCUGUUUGAGUGUCAUGGAAUUCUCAACUCUUAAUACUUUUUUGUAUCAAGAGCUUGGACUUGGAGGCUUGUGCUGGCUGCUCGUUCAGUCGGCUCCUCUGAAAUGCAUUAGCGUGAAUUAAUAUGGAUCGCUUCGGUGUGAUAAUUAUCUGCGCCGUAGUCGUGAAGUACUUGAUAACGUUUACGCUUCUAAUCGUCCUUCACGGGACAAUUAAACCCUGACUUUUUGACCUCAAAUCAGGUAGGACUACCCGCUGAACUUAAGC